CGCACCUUGCGCCCUCUGGUAUUCCGGAGGGCAUGCCUGUUUGAGUGUCAUAAAUACCUCACCCUCUGGGUUUCCAGGGACGUGGACUUGGGUGCUGCCAUUUGUGGCUCGCCUUAAACGCAUCAGUGACAGCGGUGUAAUACGUUUCACCAAACGCACUAUAAUUCCCUCGGGAUGCAUUAUGCACUUUUAUCAUGACCUCAAAUCAGGUAGGGCUACCCGCUGAACUUAA
rnacentral:misc_RNA from 1 species